CUGUUUCCUGACUCUCAGGAGUUACUACUUUUCAUUGUCUGGCUUCCAGCAUCUUGAGAACCAUCAUUUCCUAUAUUUCGUUUGGUAUUUUAGUUGUUUUAGAUCCAGUCCCUAUUAUUUCAUCUCGGCUGGAAGCAGAAACCCUCAUGAUGGUCUGUCAGUUUGUUCAGCUGCCAUUUGUUGAGGGAAUGCUUGCCAUGUGCCCACCUCUCACUGUUCUCGUGGCUCUCCAAACACUCCCAAUUUUCCUAGCUCAGGGCCUUCCUUGCAUGAGCCCUUUCCUCUGUCUGGAAUGUUCUUUCCAGCUGUACUUCCCUCUCUCAGUUCAAAGAGGCCUCGUCUGACAACCCUGUGUAAAGCGAAUCACUCUCUCUUUCAUUUCCUAUCAAACUUCUGCUUUCCUCUAUAGCUUCUUUUACUAGAGUAGAAGCAGGGAUUCCUGUUUGAUUCCCUGGAGCCAGCUCAGGGCCAGGCACACUCUAGGUGUUCAAUAAAUUUUUACGGUUUUGAGUGAGGUCUUUGCAUAUUUCAAGGUGACUGUCAUAUAACAGAGCUCAAUCAAAUUGAGGGUGCUUGGCUAAUGGGAACACAGCUCCCUGCCCUCAGGUCCCCAGCAGCAAAGGGAUACAGGGCCCCUGCACUGAGGCCACGCUCUCCUUAGUGAUAACCGAAGGCUCCCUUGUCCUGGCUAGCAGAGGGUGACAGGUGGGGCUGACGAGUUCCAGACCCAAGCCUCUGGGGCCCGGCACAGACCGACGGAACCGGACGCUUGGCAGGAGGAGCCAGAGCCAAGCUUCCAUGACGUGGCCUGCAAGGGCCGGGCUCCUCCCUGGGCCCUUGGUGGGGCUUCAGGUCUCUCCCAGCCCUCUCAGAGCUGCCUGCCACCAGGUUCUGGGGAAAGACGCAGUCAUGGCCCCUGGUUUGUGUCAGAUCUAUUGUGUGAUCACUGAUAACUGUGACACUAACAGAAUUUAGAGUUUGGCUCUAUAAACUGAAAAGUACUUUGUAAACAGAAAACAAGUGCUCACUGAACUGGAAAGGCCUUAGGAAGCUUCUCUUCUCAACCCCUACUUUUGACAGAGGAAGAGACUGAGGUUUAACUGAAAUAACAUAUGUAGACUGCUUAGUACCAGGCUUGGGACUUGGUGUUUUUGUUCCAGCCACUAACCACCUGCCUACCUGAGCAAGCUGUGCCUCGGGUCCUCCCAGCUUUCAGACAGACACCCUUCCCGCCGAGCUGCAGACCUUGAUCCAUCUGUCUUUAAUAAGGAUCAUAGCUAUCUUUUUAAAAGCAUUUAUGAAGUGCCAGGCCAUGAGCUAAGCACUUUGUACGCACUAUUUAAUUCUCUUGUCAUAGGAUGAGAUAGGUUAUUAUUGUUCCCAUUUUACUGAUGGGAAAACUGAGGCUCAGAGCCAUUAGGUUACCCCCAGGGUCCUGCAACUUGUAAGUGGCCGAGAGUGUUCAAACCCCUAAGGGGGAAGUCUCCAAACCUCUAAGAUAUGGCUUCUCUGCCCUUAGCUGUCUGUUCUGAUAACUUAUAUUUCCUGCCAGCUCUUCCUUCCUAGGCCUUUGGAGAAGAUUUCUGAGUCCAUUUGGUUAGUCACCGGAACAGGGCAAGACAGGGUGUAAGACCUCUCCAGCUGAGAGUCUGCCCUGAGGAUGUUUCUGAGGGUCAGAGAUAAUCCAUGUCAAAAACACAGCCCCGGGGAAGGAAGGGGAGUGGGCAGCAGCCCACAGACCCAGUCAUGCGCUCAGUCAGUGUCCUGCCAGCCGCUUCCCUAGGAGCCCCACAGUGGCAGGAGCUGCUGAUGAAGCAGGCAAGCGGAGUCCAGCGCUGGGGGCGCUCCACAUGGGGAGGUCACCUCUGAUGCGGUCGCUGCAGCAGCCUGCCCUCUACGGAGGUGGGGCUGGAACCAGCCUUGGAGGACCUCGCCAAUUUGAAUGAAGGCGAAUGGGUGUUGGAUAGGCAGCCUUUCCAACAGAGAAGCUGAGAAUGCUGGUCAGGCCAUCCAGCCUUUCCCAGACUCCUCCUGUGUGCCCCACUGUAUGUCCACAGCCCCGCCCUCCCAGAGAGGAGCUUAGUGCCACUUGGAAGAUGAGGAAACUGAGUCCAGGGUCCAAAACUGCAGGCAGGAUGUGCUAAAUGCCAGGUGAGCUGGGUCUCUGCUUACUGAAUCCAGUCCCGGCUGGGAAGAGAAGCGAGGGGACAGGCCUUGCCAGGAGGUUUCAAGACAAAAGAAGGAACCUGGAACCAAGGGGUGAUGCUCUUGGAAUCAUAAAGAAAUGGAAUCUUGAGUGUGGGUUUCUGGGACAAAGCUAGGAGCAAGGAGGUACCCCAUGCUUGCUGCUUUUCUCCAAGGCCCUGAACACGGAGGUGAGGCCUCAGA